rnacentral:rRNA from 1 species
AGAGUUUGAUCAUGGCUCAGGACGAACGCUUGCGGCGUGCCUAAGAAAUGCAAGUCGAGCGAGGUUGAGGCUUCGGCCAAAAACCUAGCGGCGAACGGUCGCGUAACACGUAAGCAACCUGCCCCAAAGACCGGGACAACAUUCCGAAAGGAGUGCUAAUACCGGAUGUGGCCUCUUUGUUGCAUGACAGGGAGAUUAAACCAGGCAACUGGCUUUGGGAGGGGCUUGCGGCCUAUCAGCUAGUUGGUGGGGUAACGGCCUACCAAGGCGACGACGGGUAGCUGGUCUGAGAGGAUGUCCAGCCGGACUGGGACUGAGAUACGGCCCAGACUCCUACGGGGGGCAGCAAUUAGGAAUCUUGCGCAAUGGGCGAAAGCCUGACGCAGCGACGCCGCGUGAGGGAGGAAGGCCUUCGGGUUGUAAACCUCUUUUAUCCGGGAAGAACAAAAUGACGGUACCGGGUGAAUAAGCCACGGCUAACUCCGUGCCAGCCGCCGCGGUAAUAC